rnacentral:lncRNA from 1 species
UAUGUAUGUUGUUAUUAUUAUUGUCAACGAGUAUGACUUUUGUUGCAAACUAUCAAGUAAUCCUAUAAACUCUCGCUGAUGUCAUGGUUUAGAUUUAAGGCUCUUCAAGAACUAUAGAACAAAGUAGAUAUACUCUUGGUGCCAUGUUGAGGAGGGUUGAAAUACUAAGCCACAUUUUUCAGAAAGGAGAUGAAGCACACAUAUGGAAAGUCAGAUGGCCCUACAGGGGAAUGGAAGCCCCAGAGGACAGGUGUGAUUACGGGGUUAUGAUUUCAAAAGAGGAAAAAACAAUGAAGGAGGCAAGUGGAGAGGAGUUUGGUGGAUGAGAAGGCUUCCCUGGGGAGAAGGGUAUUGGGGGAGAUGAUUGCAAGCUCUCUUACUAGCAGGUGGAGCAGUAGUCUGGUUCCUACCAGAGGCAGAUGUUUAGGCACCAUCUGUCACAGUUAAUUCUGAGUCUGGGUGUUUCGCAUACCUUUGGCUUCAUGGGAUGAGAGUCACAUGCUUGCAUCUGUUCUCCCUCUCUGAACAUUUUCCUCCAGAAUGAUGAUCACCCUAUUAACCAACACCAAAAAUUUUCAAAGGAAUGCUUUCAGAAAGAUGCAAAAUGCAGAGAAUGUGUGGCCAAACUCAUCUGGUUUCAGAAGAUCUCUUGUCCUCAGAUAUGUCUACUCUCAUUAAAACAAAGUAUGAAGAUUUCCAUGGCUGGAGACACAGGCAGUGUCUUUGAUGAGGUCCUCUCAAGAUAGCUUAAGCGUGGACUAAACUUCAUAGGGUCCACAUGAAAAAUUGGCUUCUUCGAUCCACUAAAUUCUCAACUCUCUCACAUUCCAGCCUCAUCACAAGAUUCUCUGGCUGUACAAACCUUCAGCCAGGGAGGAAGUUUCAACUUGUUCCUCCUAUCUGACAAUGCCAAUCUCCAAAAAUUAGCUUUUGGGAACUCCUUCUGUUGUUUUCGGGUAGGUGAGGGGCAAGAAUCUUCUCUAAUGAUUCCCCCUUUAAUUAACACAAAUCUUCUUUCACGUAAGCCGGAUGUUAAAGAUGGGCUGAAUGAGUUUGGUGGCUUAGUGAGCCAAGUCAGCAUAGGCUAAAUGCUAUAACAAACACCUCAGUGGCUUUAAAUGGUCAUGUCAUUGACGAAAGUGGUCAAUAGGUUGGUGGUUGUAGAGGAGCUCUGCUCUGUGUAGUUGCUCAGUAUCUAGACUUCUUUCACUAGUGUACUUGCUGUAUUCUAUAUGAAUGGUCUUAUUUUGUGCCAUGGCUUCCUUUGGUAGUCUG